GACGAACGCUGGCGGCGUGCUUAACACAUGCAAGUCGAACGGAAAGGCCCUGCUUUUGUGGGGUGCUCGAGUGGCGAACGGGUGAGUAACACGUGAGUAACCUGCCCUUGACUUUGGGAUAACUUCAGGAAACUGGUGCUAAUACCGGAUAGGAGCUCCUGCUGCAUGGUGGGGGUUGGAAAGUUUCGGCGGUUGGGGAUGGACUCGCGGCUUAUCAGCUUGUUGGUGGGGUAGUGGCUUACCAAGGCUUUGACGGGUAGCCGGCCUGAGCGGGUGACCGGCCACAUUGGGACUGCGAUACGGCGCAGAGUCGUACGGGAGGCAGCAGUGGGGAAUAUGGCACAAUGGGCGGAAGCCUGAUGCAGCAACGCCGCGUGCGGGAUGACGGCCUUCGGGUUGUAAACCGCUUUCGCCUGUGACGAAGCGUGAGUGACGGUAAUGGGUAAAGAAGCACCGGCUAACUACGUG
rnacentral:rRNA from 1 species